AUGGAUCCCAAUUCCAUCAAAACCGAUAUGGAAUCCGCCUUGCGAAUGGAGUUGCUGAAACCUUAGACACGAAGUCCAUUUCGCAGCUGGAGGACUCGGCCAGUAUAUAAACGAGCUCCGCGAUGGGUAGGAAAAGGAAGUGAGGACUCACAUGGCAGUGGUAGACGUAACCCAGGCACAGCAGUGGCAUCAGCUGCUUCUCGGAUAACCUAACUACACGAUGAAGAUAGAGAUUUGAAUCCAGGAUUUUACGAUGACCUAUUAUCAAGGUUUUUAUCAUCUAGGUGUCGGAGGGGGUGCGCUUGAGUGUGGCGGCUAGGUCGGAGACCUUGCGGCCGAGCAUGAGGGAGGCCAUCAUCUCGUCGGUUACUGCGGAUGUUCUCCAGCCGCCGGCGCUCGUACUCCGUCAGGGUAUCCGACGCCAUAAGCCAGUCGGCGACGAGAGAGAGAGAGAGAGGGCUUAUUAUCAUCUAAACUAGUCAACCCCAAAGUCAAAUAUCUGUCAUUCCCACCUACACCAAUUGCGUACCUAUAUAUAGAUUUGAGUCAUAUCCCUUUUCUUAAUAUAUAAUCAUCAAACCAAUAUUUGAAAUAUUAGUACUAUGGUCCACAUGUCACAUAGUUCUAUCUUGUAUGGAUUAGGAUCUAUCAUUAGGCUAGCAAAUAAUUUUUUUUAUUUUUAUUUUUUUUUUAAUUAAAAUUAUGAUUAAUUGUAAAUAAUUUUAAUUAAUAAUGUGAUAUGAGGAUGCAUAUUUCUACAAAAUUUCCAAAGGUAGGUUAGUCCCAUAUUAAUGAUCGGUUUGAUGCAGAAGGCCGAGCCGGGUUACGUCUGACAUUGCCCUGCGAGUGUUCAUCACCUGCGCCACCUGUUUGCCGGGUUAGGCAUCGUGCCAUUUCGAAUCAACGAGACUGCUCUUCGAUGGCUACAUGUCGAACGAAGCUUGGAUCGAUGACCAUAAAUCAACGUUGCAUGUUGCACUCCACCGCGCUGAUCUUCUGAUCACCUCCCACACCUCGGUGUUCCUCGAUUUCAGCAUCUUCGUCGUUGGGUCUUUGAAUCUCUUCCCGUUGAUGUACAGGUGUGUCGGGUUGCUCGUCGCGCUCUGUGUAGUCAUACAUCACGAUGUACCUCGUCACCAUCGCCUUCCUCUCGUCCACUACCAAAUAGUUUUGAUUAAGCUUGACGGUAUCCUCGGUUCAUUCAUAGUCUUCUUCGAUGAUAGGAUGAACUUCAUCACCUUGCUGUUGAGGGUGCUCGUCGGAGUUUUGUUAGGGUACGAAUAUGGUGCGUUGUUAGUCAAUAAAAUCGUUGAGGUGUUUGACUUGGAGAA